rnacentral:rRNA from 1 species
UUCCAGCUCCAAUAGCGUAUAUUAAAGUUGUUGCAGUUAAAAGCUCGUAGUUGAAUUUCGGGGUCAGUAGAUUGGUCGUGCCACUGGUAUGUACUGGUCUUACUGAUUCCUCCUUCUUGACGAACUGUGAUGUCAUUAAUUUGGUGUUGCAGGGAAUCAGGACUGUUACUUUGAAAAAAUUAGAGUGUUUAAAGCAAGCUAACGCUUGAAUACAUUAGCAUGGAAUAAUGAAAUAGGACGUUUGAUCCUAUUUUAGUUGGUUUCUUAGGAUCGACGUAAUGAUUAAUAGGGAUAGUUGGGGGCAUUAGUAUUCAAUUGUCAGAGGUGAAAUUCUUGGAUUUAUUGAAGACUAACUACUGCGAAAGCAUUUGCCAAGGAUGUUUUCAUUAAUCAAGAACGAAAGUUAGGGGAUCGAAGACGAUCAGAUACCGUCGUAGUCUUAACCAUAAACUAUGCCGACUAGGGAUCGGAUGAUGUUAAUUUUUUUAAUGACUCAUUCGGCGCCUUACG